UACGUAGGGGGGCGAGCGUUGUCCGGAAUCAUUGGGCGUAAAGCGCGCGUAGGUGGCCCCAUAAGUCCGCUGUGAAAGUCAAAGGCUCAACCUUUGAAAGCCGGUGGAUACUGUGGGACUAGAGUACGGAAGAGGCGAGUGGAAUUCCUGGUGUAGCGGUGGAAUGCGCAGAUAUCAGGAGGAACACUAAUAGCGAAGGCAGCUCGCUGGGACGUUACUGACACUGAGGCGCGAAAGCGUGGGGAGCGAACAGG
rnacentral:rRNA from 1 species